GGCCCGUGGAGUAAGGAGCGCCAAAAGGGAGGGCUCGGAGCUCCUGUCGCCGUCUGUUUCCCAAGGAGACACAGAGCUCCCUGUGGUGCUUCUCUGCCAUCUGAAGCGCAGUCAGCUCCAAGCGAAGGGAUUCACACGAAGACAGCGAGCAGCAGGCUGAAGAACCCGAGGCAAGCGAGCGAGAAGCCGCCCUGGGGCUGCUGCGACCUCCACGUGGGAGAGAAACGGAUGACAGGGAAAGAAUUCGGAGCUGUGGAGAUCCUUGGAGGCUGGCGGGGAGAGAAUUGGGAAAACAAAGGCAGGUUUGCAAACACUGUCUGUAGGAUCAUCUCUGUCCCCAGUUCCCAGCUGCACUCAUAGGAAAACGUAGGAUGCAACUAUUCCUGGACAUUCCUGGAGAGUUUCUACCUCUCUGAGCUGGACACAGAGCCCGCUCUCAGGAAGGGCUCCCGCUCUUUUCCCUGCCUCCUGGAGAGGAAAGGCCAGCGCRUAGCUGGACAGGAUCCAGCCCCAUUGGGACAGUCACCAUGGAGCCCCAGCAGCCUGUCCUGAUGAAGGGGGAAGGUGCCAGUGAUGAAGGGACCAUCCUCCAAACCUGCCAGGCCAUUCAGGGGUUCGAAGAGGUU